rnacentral:rRNA from 1 species
UUGGACCUGAUAUCAGACAAGAUUA